rnacentral:tRNA from 1 species
CCAAGCUGACCGUCAACCCGGCCCGCGCGCACGGUCUCUCCCACGAGGUCGGCUCGCUGGAGCCCGGCAAGC